CAAGCUGACCGGGUGAUCGCGUCCUGCACGGCAGGAUGAGGAAAGUCCGCGCUCCACAGGGCACGGUGCUGGCUAACGGCCAGGCGGGGCGACCCGAUGGCAGAGUGCAACAGAGAGGUGUGUAUUGCCUCGCCGCAAGGCGGGGUGAGGGUGAAACGGUGCGGUAAGAGCGCACCAGCGCUUGUGGCGACACAGGCGGCUAGGCAAACCCCACCGGGAGCAAGACCAAGCAGGAACGAGGGGCGGCCCGUCCCGCUAUCAGUUCCGGGUAGGUCGCUUGAGGCGUCGGGCAACCGCCGUCCCAGAUAGAUGAUCACCACCCGCCGGCUUGCUGGCGGGAACAGAACGCGGCUUACAGGUUAGCUUGGGUC
rnacentral:RNase_P_RNA from 1 species